UAGGACUCUCGGCAAUGGAUAUCUUGGCUCUCGCAUCGAUGAAGAGCGCAGCGAAAUGCGAUACGUGGUGCGAAUUGCAGAAUCCCGUGAACCAUCGAGUUUUUGAACGCAAGUUGCGCCUGAGGCCAGUUGACCGAGGGCACGUCCGCCUGGGUGUCAAGCAUUGAAUCGCUCC
rnacentral:rRNA from 1 species